ACCAGACAGUGUUGAAGUCCCUUCCGAGGUUGUCAGUUUAAAAGCAGGACGAAGCAGCACAGCAAUUUGUUUUUCUCCAGCCAUUGAGCUUCAGAGAUGGGGAUGGGGGAAAGUGAAACAUUCAUCCUUCUCUUCCACUAAAUAGAAACCAACAGGCCAGGAAACAAGAAGAAAACGAAAAGAAUACUGAUUUCUGGCUAAAAGAAAACAUGAGAAACAUCCAGAGAAUAAAACUGAAAACAUU